UACGGAGGGUGCAAGCGUUGUUCGGAAUCACUGGGCGUAAAGCGCGUGUAGGCGGCUAUCUAAGUCUGAUGUGAAAGCCCUGGGCUCAACUCAGGAAGUGCAUUGGAUACUGGAUAGCUGGAGUACCGGAGAGGAGGGUGGAAUUCCUGGUGUAGCGGUGAAAUGCGUAGAGAUCCGGAAGAACACCGGUGGCGAAGGCGGCCUGCUGGGCAGUAGCUGACACUGAGGCGCGACAGCGUGGGGAGCAAACAGG
rnacentral:rRNA from 1 species